rnacentral:rRNA from 1 species
UGGGGAAUAUUGCACAAUGGGCGCAAGCCUGAUGCAGCCAUGCCGCGUGUAUGAAGAAGGCCUUCGGGUUGUAAAGUACUUUCAGCGAGGAGGAAGGCGGUAAGGUUAAUAACCUUAUCGAUUGACGUUACUCGCAGAAGAAGCACCGGCUAACUCCGUGCCAGCAGCCGCGGUAAUACGGAGGGCGCAAGCGUUAAUCGGAAUUACUGGGCGUAAAGCGCACGCAGGCGGUCUGUCAAGUCGGAUGUGAAAUCCCCGGGCUCAACCUGGGAACUGCAUUCGAAACUGGCAGGCUAGAGUCUUGUAGAGGGGGGUAGAAUUCCAGGUGUAGCGGUGAAAUGCGUAGAGAUCUGGAGGAAUACCGGUGGCGAAGGCGGCCCCCUGGACAAAGACUGACGCUCAGGUGCGAAAGCGUGGGGAGCAAACA